GGUGCCAUACCCUUUUCACUGGUUUUGCUUACUUUUGAUAACAAAAGAGGAAAUGCAAUCUUUUGAAGAAAAUUAACUCACUCUAUAUAUCUUGAGAAGAAAGAAAGGUCUGCAAAUCUCCUAUCGGAUAUUUGCACUUCCACUUCUCCAAAUCCAAGGCAAAACAAUAAAUUGUGAAAAUUGAUUGCCACCAACCGCUGGAAAUUAACUUCAUGAGGAGGAAACAGAGAGAUGGGGAGCCGAUUCAUCAGAUGCACAAGGCAGAGAUCGGAGAAUAUGGCGAAGAAACAACAGGUUAUGGUUUCUGCAGCAUGGGGUGUCAAUGCCAGCUUCCAAUCGCUUUCUGCCCUUCUCAUUGCCAUUGUAGUCGUUGACGCUAUCUAUCUGAGACAAAGAAAUGAACAACUUUUCGAGUACGAGAUAUACAUGAAAGUUUUGGUGGCAGCUUGACGUCAAGGUGCAAUUUAUUUUCAGGGAAAUGGGUAUAUGAUAAUGAAUCUUACCCUCUAUACAAAGAGAGAGAAUGCACAUUUAUGUCUAAUCAGUUAGCUUGUGAGAAGUUCGGGAGAAAGGACCUUAACUAUCAGUUCCGGAGAUGGCAACCUCACCGGUGUGACCACCCGAGCAUUGCUAGGGCCUCUUAGGAAUAAGAGGCUUGUUUUCAUCGGGGAAUUGCUCAACAGAAACCAAUGGGUUUUCAUGGUCUGUCUGGUGGAUUCAGCCAUCCCUCCAGCCUUCAUGCAUAACAAUGGCUUAACAAACAUUUUCAAGGCCGUUUGGCUACAAUUUUACUAAUUCAUGUUAUUAAAGAAUAUAAUGCAACAAUCGAAUUCUACUGGUCUCCAUUGCUGGUGGAAUCCAACUCGAAAAAUCCAGUGAACCAUCGGGUACCAGAUCGAAUUGUCAGAGUCUAGGCGAUUGAAAAGCAUGCUAGGCAUUGGACAGAUGCAGAUAUUCUCAUUUUCAAUACCUAUCCUUGCUGAAGAAGACGCCAAAUGAGGGUCUUCCAUGAAGAUGGGAUUUAUAAAGCAGUCAUGUCACCAAGAGUGUACGAGAUGUCCAUGUCAGUGGUUGGAGGUUCACCUCAAUAGUAACACGUAGCAUGUCACCAACCUGUUAUUUCUUCGCCAGUUUAUAGUACUAUAAACUAUAUCUCCAUAGUACUAUAAACUUUCCUAUGUACAAAUCUUCUCGAAUUUCCUAAAAAAAAGUUAAUUCUUUGUAAGAAAAGAUUUUUUUUUGAAAGUAAUUUCUUUGAUCAAAAUUAAGAGUCACGUACUAAUUCAUUGAUUAGUGUACUAUCUUUUUAUUUAAAAAGUAAAAAAAAAAAUAAAGACAGGGAGCCCAUGUAAAAACAGAAUCUGGCUUAAGGUAAGGCCAGGAAACAAAACUGGCUGCAAAAAAAUGCCAGUGAAAACGUGACCUGAUGCUUCAUGAUUGUCUGCCAUUUCACUCGAGGGCUAUCGAGAUCCUGGACCCUGAACUGGCAUCGUUAACAAAACAUCCUAGGAAUAGAUGCGAAGGAGAUCACCCACUCCUUCAACCCCAUCUUUCGCAAGGUUGUCUGCCAUUUCGUUGUCAGAUCUCAUAAUGUGUCUCUCUUGCCACCCCGGUAACUUUGAUCUCAAAGCCUUGAUCUGCAACACAAUGUUCCUCAACCUCCAUGGAGCAACAGCAGGAUCAGCUACCCCUUGACCUCAUUCAUGGAGUCGCUUUCAAUGAUGACGCCAUAAUUCGAUGCCUA